GGGCUCUCAGGGGCAGGGGGAAUUGCAGAGGUGAUUUUUAAAAUUUAUUUAUUUUUGAAAGUUCCAUUUAUUACACGAGAAAGAGAAAAAAAUCUUCCAUAUCUGCUGCAUUUUCCCCACCAACAGUUUGGUGGGGAAAUACUGUAUCAGUAUUUUUCUCUGAGCAUUUUGAAGGCCUAGUUUAGGAUGCUGCUCUAAUAAGAACUGGGCACCAGCUCAAUUAUGCAGCUGUCUCACUGGCUUUGCACUUCCAAGCUGUGCUUUAGACAGCUGAACUUCAUCAGGGGAGUCACACAAAGGGUUCUUACAGCAUGAAACGCAGCGAGGCAAUCAAAGGUAGCUACUGCUGAGUUCGAAGUGAUAACACAACCUCAGCUGGCCACUCUUGUGCAGGAGGCAUCUUUAAUAUACACCUCCCUCCACGUUUAUCCCCAGGGAAAGCCUGCUUGACCUCCACUUACCCGAAAUGAGAAGCAGAAGUUUGCGAGGAGCUGGGGCUAUCCUAGAGGCCAAUAUUCAGGCGAAGUCCUCAAAGUGCUGCUGUCCUGCUCCCCACAGACAGACUCAUUUGCUGGUGAGUUUUGGCAGUUCAGCGUGUGUUCCCGGUGCAAAUCCUUAGUGUGCGGACAGAUAACUGAAAACCAGCCCCAGCACGCAUGCCAAGAGACCCAGGAUACAGCUCUCAGAAGGAAAAUAAACAGGUCAGUAAAAGAACUGAAGUUCAUGACGAGGGCAACAUCUCUGUCCGCAGCUCUUUCUCCUCACAAAAAUCCCACAUUUUAUUUUCUGAAUCUGCUUCUGCUUCAGUAACCCAGUAAUUCUCUGAAAUAUUCAGAGCAAGAGGGAAUGUGCUGGUGUCACGUUCUUUGUCAACAGCUGUAAAGUUGAUGCGAUCCAAGUACUCUUUGGUGGUGAUGCCAGAUACUGCUUGCCUGAAUAGGAACACCAAGCCCUUCCUAAGAAUUUUUUUGAAGAGGUUAUUAAGCAUCUCGUUUUGGCAUGGCUCUCAGAGCUGUUUGACCUGAUUUAUUUUUUUUAUUAUUUUUUUUUUUUACUGCCUGUUGAAAAGAAAGCAAUACUGCAAAUACUUCCCAUCAGAAAACGACAACAAGCAACUUAUCAUAACUGCAAGAAAGCUAACAACAUUUCCACCCAGUGAUUUUUGGCACUGACAGCUGACUCAGAACAGUUGUUGGUGGCUGGGACAGAUGGACUUCAUGUAUAU
rnacentral:lncRNA from 1 species